UACGAAGGGGGCUAGCGUUGCUCGGAAUCACUGGGCGUAAAGCGCACGUAGGCGGAUUUCUAAGUCAGGGGUGAAAUCCUGGAGCUCAACUCCAGAACUGCCUUUGAUACUGGGAAUCUCGAGUCCGGGAGAGGUGAGUGGAACUACGAGUGUAGAGGUGAAAUUCGUAGAUAUUCGCAAGAACACCAGUGGCGAAGGCGGCUCACUGGCCCGGUACUGACGCUGAGGUGCGAAAGCGUGGGGAGCAAACAGG
rnacentral:rRNA from 1 species